rnacentral:rRNA from 1 species
CUACGUGCCAGCAGCCGCGGUAAUACGGAAGGUCCGGGCGUUAUCCGGAUUUAUUGGGUUUAAAGGGAGUGUAGGCGGUUUGUUAAGCGUGUUGUGAAAUUUAGAUGCUCAACAUUUAACUUGCAGCGCGAACUGUCAGACUUGAGUACACGCAACGUAUGCGGAAUUCAUGGUGUAGCGGUGAAAUGCUUAGAUAUCAUGAAGAACUCCGAUUGCGAAGGCAGCAUACGGGAGUGUAACUGACGCUUAAGCUCGAAGGUGCGGGUAUCGAACAGGAUUAGAUACCCUGGUAGUCCGCACAGUAAACGAUGGAUGCCCGCUGUUGGUACCUGGUAUCAGCGGCUAAGCGAAAGCAUUAAGCAUCCCACCUGGGGAGUACGCCGGCAACGGUGAAACUCAAAGGAAUUGACGGGGGCCCGCACAAGCGGAGGAACAUGUGGUUUAAUUCGAUGAUACGCGAGGAACCUUACCCGGGCUUGAA